GAUGAAGAACGUAGCGAAAUGCGAUACUUGGUGUGAAUUGCAGAAUCCCGUGAACCAUCGAGUCUUUGAACGCAAGUUGCGCCCGAAGCCAUUAGGCCGAGGGCACGCCUGCCUGGGCGUCACACGUCGUUGCCCCCCCAUCUACUCCUUCGGGAUUGCGGGGGGCGGAUGAUGGCCUCUCGUGCGCCUCGUCGCGCGGUUGGCCUAAAUGCCAAGUCCUCGGCGACGCACGCCACGACAAUCGGUGGUGGCGAAACCUCGGUUGCCUGUCGUGUGCGGUCGUCGCGCAUCGAGGGCUCGAAAAAAUUGCCGGGCUUCGGCUCGACUUUCAACGCGACCCCAGGUCAGGCGGGGUUACCCGCUGAAUUUAAGCAUAUCAAUAAGCGGAGGA
rnacentral:misc_RNA from 1 species